CAAUCGCCAGGGAACUACGAGCUAAGCUUAAAACCCAAAGGACUUGACGGUACCCCAUAUCCCCCUAGAGGAGCCUGUCCUAUAAUCGAUAACCCACGUUAAACCUCACCAUUUUUAGUUAAUCAGCCUGUAUACCUCCGUCGUCAGCUUACCACGUGAGCGUUAAUUAGUGAGCCUAAUGUUUUUCACCAAUACGUCAGGUCAAGGUGCAGCAAAUGAAAUGGGAAGAGAUGGGCUACACUCUCUAUUUUAGAAAAAACGAAAAACUACCUAUGAAACCUAGUUAGAAGGCGGAUUUAGCAGUAAAAAGGAAUCAGCAUGUCCCUUUUAAUCCGGCACUGGGGUGUGUACACACCGCCCGUCACCCUCUUCAAAGCUUCAAACACAGUCUUUAACAAAUUUAAGCACAACAGAAGAGGCAAGUCGUAACA
rnacentral:rRNA from 1 species